AACCCUGUCUCUACUAAAAAUACAAAAAUUAGCCAGGAGUGAUGGUGCACACCUGUAAUCCCAGCUACCCGGGAGGCUGAGGCAGGAGAAUCGCUGGAACCUGAGAGGCCGAGGCUGCAGUGAGCCGAGAUUGUGCCACUGCACUCUAGCCUGGGUUAACAGAGUGAGACUCUAUCACAAAAAAAAAAAAAAAAAAAGGAAAAAAAAGAGUAGGUUAGGCUUUGAGUACAUCAAGAGGCUGGGAAAUGGGUUUUGCUAGCUAAGAAAGUAACAAAGACAUUUUCUCUUUUCUGUGACUGUGGCUAAGACUAGUCCUGUCCUGUCUUUGCCAUAAACUAUGUGGGAAAUGGCUUUCCUUCACAAAAUGAGUCCCUAAAGAGAAGGGAGACUGAUGGCCAUCUCUCUCCAUGUGGCCUGAAGAGCCAGGAGGUAGGAAUAAGGGGAGUCAAGCAAGGCCUUAACCAGACUCUAAUACGCAAGCUGGCCCUGUUGCCUUGGGAAGAAUGUGGCUCCGGUGAGUAGCAGCAGGUAGAGGUGUAUAAUCUGGGAUAUGUGCAGCUCUGAUGCCUUCCGUUUUAGAAAGGACUCUGCUUUGCUCUGGCCUUUAAUUUAUGCCACAUAGGCACAGGGGCUACAUAACAUAGUGGUUUACAGCAAGGAUUUGGGAUCCAGACUGGCCAGAUUUGAACUCCAGCACUAUUCCUUGAUACCUCUGAAACUUGGGACAAGUAACUUAGUCACUAUGUAUGAAAAGAGAUAAUAAUACUAGUACCUUCCUCAUACUACAAGACUACAAGAUGUGGUCAAGACCAGAAAUAUAUAAGCACUGUAAAAACAAUGUAAAACCAAAUGAAAAUUCUUCAUUUGUAUCUUCCAAAAAUAAAAAAAUAGCUAUUUGGGAUUCUUGUCUACUUUGUCCCUGUAGUCCUAUAUAUUGUUUCUCUUAUGUCAGAUUUCUAACUAGUGGUUCUGUUUUGUUUUUUUACAAAAUUUUAAUAAGGUUUUUUUUUUUUUUUUGGCAGAGCUAGCUGAGGUUUUAUUUUGGACAAAAAAAAAAAAACAAUUGAAUUGUUUUGU
rnacentral:lncRNA from 10 species